UACGUAGGGUGCAAGCGUUGUCCGGAAUUAUUGGGCGUAAAGAGCUCGUAGGCGGUUCGUCGCGUCGGCUGUGAAAUCCCGAGGCUCAACCUCGGGUCUGCAGUCGAUACGGGCGGACUGGAGUACUGCAGGGGAGACUGGAAUUCCUGGUGUAGCGGUGAAAUGCGCAGAUAUCAGGAGGAACACCGGUGGCGAAGGCGGGUCUCUGGGCCGAUGACUGACGUGAGGAGCGAAAGCGUGGGGAGCGAACAGG
rnacentral:rRNA from 1 species